rnacentral:lncRNA from 1 species
CCUGUAAUUUCAAUUUCAUGGAGACAAACCCAUUUGUCAAUCAUAUUGUUCCAUUUCUUUUUCUCUCCUCUCGUUGGACCCUUGGCGAACUCCUGCUAACGAGCUUCAUAGCGAAUAUUGAGGAGUGGUGUAGCGUCUCUUGACAAGGCUGUUGGCAAGAGGGGUGGCGAGGCCACUCCCUCAAGCCUAAGAGUCUCGCUAAGAACAUCUCGCCCAGGAAUUAAAGAGAGAUAGAGGGAGGGAGGUUUGUUGUAGAUUGAUUCUUAAUUUUGUGACUGAAUUCCACUUUAUGAUUUGAGGUUCUGGUUUUUGCCCCAAAAUUCAAAAGCGUUCGUCUCUUCUUCUUUUUCAUCAUCUCUUCUUGUUCUUGAUUUACAGCACCACCGCUUAUGAUUUGAGGUUUUGGUUUUUACCCCCAUACUCAAAGGGUUCGCCUCUUCUUCAUCUUCUUCUUGUUUUUGAUUUACAGCACCACCGCUUUCUGGGCUUUCUACAGCAGCAGGAUGAAGCUCUACAACUCCCAUCGUCGUUGCGGGUCACUUUGUAGCCUAUUAGUGAUUCUUUUGCCUACUCUUUUCGCUCCAUUUGGUUGUGCUUCGCCUGCGGUUCUUUUAGUGAUAUUCUUUUUCACAAUUUAAUUGAACAUUGUUGUUUAGAUUUAUUUUCUUGUGUGUAAUGGCAUUAUCAGGUGGGUGUGUUUUUUUUUAUUUUUAUUUUGUCUGUCAAUAAAGUUGAGCUGGUUAAAUUGUCCUUGACGCCUCAAAUUGGAACAAGGAAAUAAGGGAGUAUCUAGGGUUUGCUCAACGAAUAUUAAUUAAGAUUCAGUUUUCAAUUUCUUAAUGAAAUAUAAGGAUCCUUAAGGCCACCUACGUACGACUCUAAAAGUAAUCACAUGUUUUAUCUUUGUAAUUUAGGGAAUUCAGUCUGAUCUUUCCAAUUUCAUGAAUAAAUUGGAAUCAAGAUAUAAACACAUAGACAAUCAACACUUUAAGGAAUUUAAACUGGAAAGAUUAGCUUUUGAUGAGGUUGUGAUCAGUGAGUAAUUUAGUUCAUGCAUGGAUUCAGUUGAUGAAAAUAAGGAUGGUGAACACUACGGGGUUAAGUGGACAUGCUUUCACAAAUUCAUGAAGCACUAUGGUGUCAAGUAAAGUGGCAUUGUAUUGUCUGAUUUCAUGAAGCAUUUUGGUGUUAAAUGAAUGACAUGAUUUCACAAACAUGUACAAAUUUCUGUUAAUCCUACUAAUUUAUUGUUAUAUAUCUACAAAGAGACCACGCGGUGUUGACCAUAUCCACACACCACAAGUAUUGACCUAAGAGCUCAUAUGGAUAUAGGAAUGUGAUGGCAAUUUUGUUGAGAAAGAACCAAAGAUUUGCCCUUGCAUUAAACUUACAAAUCUUGAUGGGAAAACAGACAUCUGCUGAUAGGAAAACUACCAUGUGUGUUCAAGAAUGGAGAGCAACCAUCAAAGACUUUUAUG